rfam:Toxoplasma gondii VEG unlocalized apicoplast scaffold scaffold00502, whole genome shotgun sequence.
GGGUAGUUAGCUUAGUGGUAGAGUAUAUGCUUUACAAGCACAUAAGUAUUGGUUCGAUUCCAAUACUGCCCA